GACUCCAGGUGUGGGAGCGGCGGGCUCCUUCCUGAUGCUUUGCGGUCCGGUGGCUUGGAUGCUACCCAUUGUCACCACAAACAAAAGGGAACAAGAGUCCUGCAAGGAAUCGGAGGAUUUACAUGGUACCCCCUGCAAUGGAGGGCUCUGAGUCUUUAACCCAUCGCAGGCCCAGCUGACACUGCUAGGGCCACUUAUGGAUGGAAUCCUCCCCGGAGCUGUGCCCAAGAGCCUCUGGCAAUUCCGUGGCCAUUUGCAGUGGAAGUCGAUCGUACCUAAGCUGAUGCUCACGAUACCUGGGUUAUCUGCUUACGCACUCCUGCUAUCUUCUGGCAACAGCUACUUUGUUUCUGACCCUUCCAACAAAUGUGAACUAAUGUGGAGAACUCCAAGAACCAGAGCAAGAGGAGACAAAGAAGAGUCGACUAAGAGUGGAUUAUAGGUAGAAGGGUGUUUCAAAGCAUGUGUGGUGGGUAAUGAAAGAAAA
rnacentral:lncRNA from 12 species